UUUGUAUUUUCAAUUAAAUUUCUAAUUAAAUUGUAUUUGAAUUAUUUUGUGCAAUUAUGUUUUAUACUUUGUAAAUAUAAAUUCAAGAAUCGAGAGCCUUGUGCACUGCGAUUGUAGGUUGAUUUGAUUCAGGGGAUUGGAAGAUAACCAACUUGGAGUACCUCUGCGCAAGAGCCUUGGGGAUUUGAUUAACUUGAGAACCUUAGUACUUGCUGUAAGCGUUCUUCUGGCUAUAAUAUGGGCAAAUUCUAGAUCACUUCUUUUAGCAGUUGGUCAAGAUGAUCAAAUUGCAGCUCAAGCCGGACACUAUGCUGAAUUCGUGAUCCCUGGUCUCUUUUCUUAUGGUCUUCUUUACUCACUUCAGAGAUUCUUACAAACCCAGAACAUCGUUUUCCCUAUGAUGAUAACUGCAGGGAUCACUACACUACUGCAUUUGCCAGUUUGCUGGACUUUGGUCUUCAAAUGUGGUCUUGGAAACUGAGGAGUUUCCCUUGCAACUGGUGUAUCUUAUUGGAUUAAUGUAAUAUUGUUAGCACUUUAUGUUAAGUUUUCAUAAGAAACAUUCAAUGUGAGCUGACGUUCCAAGAUAAUUAAGCAAAUGGGAUUAUACCAUCUGACUGCUGGUCCUCUUUUAUUUGCAGUCUCCACACAGCUGCACUUGUGUGGAUGAUCCCCUUUGGUCUUAGUGGUGCUGUCAGUACUGCAGUUUGAUACCGUUCCAUCAACUCAUACAGCUUCUCAUUCGAGUGACAGAUCGAAGGAGAUUGAUCAUAAGACUCUACGAAGGCUUGCUCAGAACCGUGAGGCAGCAAGGAAAAGCCGGUUGAGGAAAAAAUUGGACUGGCAAAUGCAAUGAUGAAACACUGCAAGAGUGUGGACGGAUUGGAGGAUGUUGUUGACAUUGUCGGUACCGGUGGUGAUGGAGCAAACACUGUAAAUAUCUCUACCGGCGCCUCUAUAUUGGCCGCCGCUUGUGGUGCCAAAGUAGCCAAGCAAGGGACCAGAUCAAGCUGUACUAAGGUUGUUUCAAUUCUGCAGAACGGUGCGCGGUGCAUGCUUUCCAAUUGACUAAAGGUCUAUACUCUGAGGAAUGCGGCUUAAGCUAGUGAGGAAAUUGAUGUGGUUCGUGAGCAAUGGGCUAAGUUUUUUACCAGCAAAUAUUAAUUAUUGGCCUGAUCGCGCUUGAUCGAGUUGGUUUAGAUGUUAUAGACCAAUCUUUUAUAUUAAAAUGUAUGCGUACAAUGAAAUUGGAACAUAUAUUUAAAUGUACGUGCACUUUGGUUUCAUGUAUACAAAACAACAAUUAUUGUUUUUAUAUUUGUUAUACAGGUUGCGAUAUUUUAUUA